rnacentral:rRNA from 1 species
AGGCAGCAGUGGGGAAUAUUGCACAAUGGGGGAAACCCUGAUGCAGCCAUGCCGCGUGUGUGAAGAAGGCCUUCGGGUUGUAAAGCACUUUCAGUAGGGAGGAAGGUAGUGUAGUUAACACCUGCAUUAUUUGACGUUACCUACAGAAGAAAGCACCGGCUAACUCCGUGCCAGCAGCCGCGGUAAUACGGAGGGUGCGAGCGUUAAUCGGAAUUACUGGGCGUAAAGCGCAUGCGGGCGGCCUGUUAAGUCAGAUGUGAAAGACCCGGGGCUUAACCUCGGAAUUGCAUUUGAAACUGGCAGGCUAGAGUCUUGUAGAGGGGGGUAGGAAUUUCAGGUGUAGCGGUGAAAUGCGUAGAGAUCUGAAGGAAUACCAGUGGCGAAGGCGGCCCCCUGGACAAAGACUGACGCUCAGAUGCGAAAGCGUGGGGAGCAAACAGGAUUAGAUACCCUGGUAG